rnacentral:rRNA from 1 species
GACGGAGGGUGCUAGCGUUGUUCGGAAUCACUGGGCGUAAAGGGCGCGUAGGCGGCCUUGCAAGUCGGUUGGUGAAAGCCCGGGGCUCAACCCCGGAGGUGCGGCCGAGACUGCAGGGCUGGAGGCCGGAAGAGGAGGGUGGAAUACCCAGUGUAGAGGUGAAAUUCGUAGAUAUUGGGUGGAACACCGGUGGCGAAAGCGGCUCUCUGGUCCGGACCUGACGCUGAGACACGAAAGCGUGGGUAGCAAACAGG